rnacentral:tRNA from 1 species
GCCUGGGUGGCUUAGUCAGCUGAGCCUCUGACUUCGACUCAGGUCUUGAUCUCGAGGUUUGUGAGUUCGAGCCCCACAUUAGGCU